rnacentral:rRNA from 1 species
AUUGAACGCUGGCGGCAGGCCUAACACAUGCAAGUCGAGCGGAUGAAGGGAGCUUGCUCCUGGAUUCAGCGGCGGACGGGUGAGUAAUGCCUAGGAAUCUGCCUGGUAUUGGGGGAUAACGUCCGGAAACGGGCGCUAAUACCGCAUACGUCCUGAGGGAGAAAGUGGGGGAUCUUCGGACCUCACGCUAUCAGAUGAGCCUAGGUCGGAUUAGCUAGUUGGUGGGGUAAAGGCCUACCAAGGCGACGAUCCGUAACUGGUCUGAGAGGAUGAUCAGUCACACUGGAACUGAGACACGGUCCAGACUCCUACGGGAGGCAGCAGUGGGGAAUAUUGGACAAUGGGCGAAAGCCUGAUCCAGCCAUGCCGCGUGUGUGAAGAAGGUCUUCGGACUGUAAAGCACUUUAAGUUGGGAGGAAGGGCAGUAAGUUAAUACCUUGCUGUUUUGACGUUACCAACAGAAUAAGCACCGGCUAACUUCGUG